UACGUAGGGGGCGAGCGUUGUCCGGAUUUAUUGGGCGUAAAGAGCGUGUAGGCGGCUUGGCAAGUCUGACGUGAAAGCCCGCGGCUCAACCGCGGAUUGUCGUUGGAAACUGCCUCGCUAGAGUCCGGAAGAGGAGAGCGGAAUUCCUGGUGGUAGCGGUGGAAUGCGCAGAUAUCAGGAAGAACACCCGUGGCGAAGGCGGCUCUCUGGGACGGUACUGACGGCUGAGACGCGAAAGCGUGGGGAGCGAACAGG
rnacentral:rRNA from 1 species